AUGAGCGGGGGGCCUAAGCUCAGUUCUUUGAAUCAAAGGUUUCAUGAAAUCGAAAUCGAUUCUUUUUUAGAUAUCUGGAUAGAUGGAUGGAUCUAUCUUUCUAUUCAGAUAUCUUUUGCAAUCAGCCCCAAAUCCUUGAUUUGGCCAGGAAACAAAGCACUGCUUUGGGCCCAGGAAGCGAAGGGAAUGAGCUCGGCUGCUUCUCCCCUACACUUCUUUAUUUCUCCGUGCCCCUUCCGCAUGCGCUUCGCGCGCCAUUGGCGCUUUGCUCUCCUCUUAUUUCUUCAUUGGAGGGUUCGGAUGGACUUCGUCGUUCUUUCCCAACGAAAAUGGAAAGGGCUGUAUCACAUCGAGAUGUCGAUUCGUUUUCCGCCCCAAAUGAGAUGGGGAAUUAGUCACCUCUGUCCCUUCAUCUUUUUGAAAGGAAUCGAGGCCCGGCCCGGCUCGCGUCGUUCCAACAACCGACGGGGAGCACCUCAGUAUACGAUCGCGCGCAGUAACUGGGAGUCCUAUUACACCUAA
rnacentral:rRNA from 1 species